rnacentral:rRNA from 1 species
AUUGAACGCCGGCGGUAUGCUUAACACAUGCAAGUCGAACGGUAACAGGCCUUCGGGCGCUGACGAGUGGCGGACGGGUGAGUAACGCGUAGGAAUCUGCCUUAUAGUGGGGGACAACGUGGGGAAACCCACGCUAAUACCGCAUACGCCCUACGGGGGAAAGCGGGGGAUCGUAAGACCUCGCGCUAUGAGAUGAGCCUGCGUUAGUUUAGCUAGUUGGUAGGGUAAAGGCCUACCAAGGCGACGAUCUAUAGCUGGUCUGAGAGGACGAUCAGCCACACUGGGAGUGAGACACGGCCCAGACUCCUACGGGUGGCAGCAGUGGGGAAUAUUGGACAAGGGGCGCAAGCCUGAUCGAGCAAUACCGCGUGUGUUAAGAAGGCCUUAGGGUUGUAAAGCACUUUCAAUGGGGAGGAAAACCUGCCGGUCAAUACCCGGUAGCUUGACAUUACCUAUAGAAGAAGCACCGGCUAACUCCGUGCCAGCAGCCGCCGUAACAC